GGAUGUGAGGGCGAUCUGGCUGCGACAUCUGUCACCCCAUUGAUCGCCAGGGUUGAUUCUGCUGAUCUGGCUGGCUAGGUGGGUGUCCCCUUCCUCCCUCACCGCUCCAUGUGAGUCCCUCCCGAAGCUGCGUUCACAGUUGAAGAGGACGGACUUCUCCGAAUAGAGAUGGACCGGUCAAGGGUAUACAAGUAGCUGCGCUCCCCUGCUAGAACCUCCAAACAAGCUCUCAAGGUCCAAUUAACCAGUCAUAUCCCAUGGAAAACAAAUGAUGCCUCUUGAAACUCCAAACAGACUGGCAUCUGACUGAGUCUGGCUCU
rnacentral:snRNA from 1 species